rnacentral:rRNA from 1 species
GACGAACGCUGGCGGCGUGCCUAACACAUGCAAGUAGAACGCUGAAGAGAGGAGCUUGUUCUUCUUGGGUGAGUUGCGAACGGGUGAGUAACGCGUAGGUAACCUGCUUCGUAGUGGGGGAUAACUAUUGGAAACGAUAGAUAAUACCGCAUAACAAUGGAUGACCCAUGUCGUUUAUUUGAAUGGGGCAAAUGCCGCACUACAAGAUGGAUCUGCGUUUUAUUAGCUAGUAGGUGAGGUAACGGCCCACCUAGGCGACGGUACAUAGCCGACCUGAGAGGGUGGUUGGCCCCCCUGGGACUGAGACACGGCCCAGACUCCCACAGGGAGCAGCAAGAGGGGAACUUCGGCCAUGGGGGCAAACCUGGCCGAACAACGCCGCGGGAGUGAAGAAGGUUUUCGGGUCGGAAAGCUCUGUUGUAAGGGAAGAAAGAGCGUGAGGGUGGAAAGUUCACACUGUGACGGUAGCUAACCAAAAAGCGACGGCUAACUACGUG